UAACAGUCACAGUAACGUGGCUGACGGCCCCGUGGAGUGACAGUAACAUGACUGGGGCCCCCAUGGAGUAACUAACAGUCACAGUAACGUGGCUGACGGCCCCGCAGAGUGACAGUAACUCACAGUAACGUGGCUGACAGCCCCGCGGAGUAACAGUAACGUGACUGGGGCCCCCAUGGAGUAACAGUUACAGUAACGUGGCUGACGGCCCCGCGGAGUAACAGUAACGUGACUGGGGCCCCCAUGGAGUAA